AGGGAAUACUAAUACUAAUAAGGUAUGGCCCCUUAGGUUGCGGCCCAUACCUUAUUAGUAUUUAGCUGUUUAUUGGCCUCUAAGUGCUGAUCCAAUUGCCACUUACACAUACACUAGCUAACAGACAUACACACUCACUAACAAACACAUACAGUCACUAACAGACAUGCAUACACUAUCACUAACAUACACACUCACUAACAGACACACAUACUAAC